CAUGAAGAGAGUCACAUGUUUGAGCUACCUGGCUGUUCAACCUGAGUUAAUCCAAAGUAUAAAAGAAGCGCAGUCCACCGAUUUUACCUUAAAAACCCUCAAGAAAGAUGCAGAACAAGGAGUUAAUUCAGAAUUCUGAGUCUUUGUCAUUGGGUUGUUCAGAUUCUAUGACAGAGUGUGUGUUCCAGGUGAUAGUAAGUUGAAAAUGGACAUCAAGACAGAGGCCAAUAACUCAAAGUUUGCUAUG
rnacentral:lncRNA from 1 species